ensembl:lncRNA
AUGAAAUCAUCGCUUUUGAUAGCCUGCUGCACUCCACAUGGCAGCGACACGGGCGCUGCUCGCAUGACUCACGGGCUGGGCUCCUUCGCAGCCUCUCGCUGGUGGGUGGCUCCAUCUGCACGGAGUUACUGGUGUCAGGGUCCUGCUGUGGGGCCUUACUGGUGUCAGGGUCCAUCUGCACGGAGUUACUGGUGUCAGGGUCCUGCUGUGGGGCCUUACUGGUGUCAGGGUCCAUCUGCACGGAGUUACUGGUGUCAGGGUCCUGCUGUGGGGCCUUACUGGUGUCAGGGUCCAUCUGCACGGAGUUACUGGUGUCAGGGUCCUGCUGUGGGGCCUUACUGGUGUCAGGGUCCAUCUGCACGGAGUUACUGGUGUCAGGGUCCUGCUGUGGGGCCUUACUGGUGUCAGGGUCCAUCUGCACGGAGUUACUGGUGUCAGGGUCCUGCUGUGGGGCCUUACUGGUGUCAGGGUCCAUCUGCACGGAGUUACUGGUGUCAGGGUCCUGCUGUGGGGCCUUACUGGUGUCAGGGUCCAUCUGCACGGAGUUACUGGUGUCAGGGUCCUGCUGUGGGGCCUUACUGGUGUCAGGGUCCAUCUGCACGGAGUUACUGGUGUCAGGGUCCUGCUGUGGGGCCUUACUGGUGUCAGGGUCCUGCUGUGGGGCCUUACUGGUGUCAGUGUCCAUCUGCACGGAGUUACUGGUGUCAGGGUCCUGCUGUGGGGCCUUACUGGUGUCAGUGUCCAUCUGCACGGAGUUACUGGUGUCAGUGUCCUGCUGUGGGGCCUUACUGUCCUGCACUGAGGUACUGGUGUCAGGAUCUGGCUGUGGGGCCUUACUGGUGUCAGGGUCCUGCUGUGGGUGUCCAUCUGCACAGAGUUACUGGUGUCAGGGUCCUGCUGUGGGGCCUUACUGGUGUCAGGGCCCACCCUCAGGGUUUUUUUGCAUCAGGACCCACCUGCAGAGGUUUGUUCUGGGUCAGGGCUGUGGGCAGUGCUUCUCUGCCUGCUCAGCUCCUCUCUGCUGCUGUGCUUGGGGCUGGGUCCCGCUGGCAUUUGUUGUUCUGUGGCUGCUCUGGAGUGCUGCCCCUGGAAUUUCAACUAGGAAGGGAACAACUGCAAAGUCUGGUGUGAGGAGGGAGUGCUGGGCUUGUCCAUGGGAGUGGGCAGCUCCUUUUGAGGCAGGGGGGCUGGUGGUGCUUGCUGGGGUUUAAGCUGGAAUUGCUGCAGCUCCCUGCUGAGCUGGGAUAUCCUGCUCUGCUUCCUGCACCAGCCUCUCUGGUUCAGGCUGAUCAGCACCUCUGUAGAGCAGGAGGUUCCUGGCACAGGCAGCAGGAGCACUGAGCACCUUUCAGCAGCUGCCCCGGCAGGCUGGGACCCUCCUGCUGCCCUGGGCCGGGGCUGGGCUGGGCUCUGCUGUGCCCAUGGCUGCCAGGAGGGGCCCAGCACCCUGCUUCCCCAGCACUCAGCAAAGUGCAGUGCCCCCAGACCCUCAGACAGAACCCCCAGGAGCCGUUUGCCUCUGAGCCCUGGGCACAGGCAAGGGAGAGGCUGCAGCCCCCAGCAGCGUCACCUGGACAUGGACAUGGACAUGGGUGUGUCCUUCAGUCCCUCCCCAGGGCCCAGAUGAGUGUGCUGGUUGGCUAUCAGGCACAUGCAAGCUUCUCCUGCAGCAGGAGAGGGGCAGGAUGCUGAGCUGUGGCUAUCAGGCACAUGCAAGCUUCUCCUGCAGCAGGAGAGGGGCAGGAUGCUGAGCUGGGUUAUCAGGCACAUGCAAGCUUCUCCUGCAGCAGGAGAGGGGCAGGAUGCUGAGCUGGGUUAUCAGGCACAUGCAAGCUUCUCCUGCAGCAGGAGAGGGGCA